UCCCUGGAGAUCCAGUGGUCAAGACUGCACUCUUAAUGCGGGAAGCCCAGGUUCCAUUCCUGGUCUGGGAA
rnacentral:tRNA from 1 species